GUCGCUCCGUCCACUCCGUGGAGCUGGAUGACUGCCAAACAGGCGCUAGGUAUAUGUUUUAACCAGAGCAAGGUGCUGAACACAUUAAUUACUUGAUUAGCACUGAUAUUAGGUAUGUUUUAACCAGAGCAAGGUGCUAAACACAUUAAUGAAAACACGCAUGGUGCUAAAUAUGUUUAGCGCUAAACACCGAAGGGUGAGAUAUGUUGGAUCUUCGCAACUCGUUCUUUUUAUAUUGGCAUAUGGUGGGGUGUUUAAAAGUAUAGAUAUAGAUGAAAGUUCAAUACAAAUCGGAGGAUCUCCCUAUAAACAUGACAGCACUAAACAUGACAAUCGUCAAAGGCAAACACACACCAACAGCAUACUCUUAUUUUUGGCGACCAACAACAUACAUGACAACAGAGACGUAACUACAGUUUUUAUUCGAACAAGCACAUAUGCCUGUUCACCAUCUCACCGAGGCGAAACGAUAUGGGUUUCCACAGUACAGCCCAGUCUGCUAGAUCUCCAUGCAACAGCAGAAAUGUGCAGCUAAAAUUAGCCGCAGCAGCACAAGGACUCCAUGCAGCACUCGCAGGUCUCGUAGCAGCAGAAGCAACAGCACAGUGUAAACAGGCUGCAAGCGACAGGCUUCCAAUGUAAAAUCCACAGUUGUUAACCAGAAACCGGAGCAAGAUUAAGUAUCAGAAGUAAUUUGUAACUUGAACUGAGAUUCGCUGCAUAAUUCAUAGUGAAAUAUCUGAAAAUUACUUGCAUCUUGGGGUGAUCUCAGACUGAUUUGAUGGUAUAAUUAAAUUCUCUGUGAUGCAGUGCGAAAGACAAGAUCCAGCCGAAGCUGCAUGAAGAUGACCAGUAACUACUACCACUUGCCAACAGGAUAUCAUUUUCCAUUUUAUCUAAUGAGCCAAAGGUUUGGGUCACUUGUUUGGUGGAUAUCCCUUUCAGGAAUAAAGGUGAAAGAUCACUUCCUACCUCCCUGAAUGGCAGUCCCUCACCAAACUGGGGCCUUAUUGACGGUAGGUGCUGGAAAUGUUUUGGAAGAAAGCUUUGCCGGCAAGGAAGUAAUGUACCCCACCCCACUGUGAUUAAAUCACUGAAAUGAGGAAGGAAGUUGAAUCAUGAGGCUAAUUAGUUUCUCUGGGAAAACAAAGCUUUGUAACAAGCCCAAGAGCACCUUUUGCAUUUCCGGGCUAUUGUCAAGGAGCCAUCCUAAAUUUU
rnacentral:lncRNA from 1 species